AUAUAAGUACAAGCAGGUCCAUGUCUGUAUCUGUAUCGUCAUCCACUGAUUCAGUACCUGACGGCAGCCAUGACACUUGUCCUCAGCAUCCUUGUGUGCGCCUCGCUUCUGCCAGCUUUGACUGCGGCAGGAACCGUUUACACACGUUGGGGAAACAGUGGGUGUGCUUCCGAAGAAGCGACUGUGUAUUCAGGCUAUGUGGGCGGCAGUUUUAACAACAAGUCUGGAUCUGGAGCCAACUUCAUGUGUCUAUCACCCAAUCCCGUACCCACUGACGUAACAAGACCUGACUAC